AAUUAAACUUACAUGUAGAAUCAUUGCACAAUUUGCAAAUCAUCACCAUAAAUUCACAUCGCGGUUUCAAAAAAUUCCGAAAACUUGUUAAAUCUGAACAAAACCCUACCCGACCCGAAAGAACAAAUGUCAACGCCAUUAGAUCAUAGAACAUCAACACAAUUCAAAACUCAAAAGUUUAGAUCAUUCCGAUUUCAGAUCUCAAAACAUGCGAAAUUCACUUUUUGUUAACAAAUCAAUUACAUAAACUUGCUCCAAUAAAAAUUUAAAAAUUUCACAAGCAAAAAUCGGUACAAAUCUAAUUACAUCUGCAGAUAAGAAGACAAAUUCAUACAAAAGAUGGAAAAAAAUUCAUCAAAUAAAAAGUUAGAAGAGGAGAAAAAUACCUUAAGAAUGCUGAGAAUUAGGGAAAAUGGAUUCUCCGAUCUGGAAGGAAAAUGGAUUAGAAUUUUUUUGACCCGUUUGUUUAAUUGGAGUUGGACUUUAAAGCUUUGAUUUAUUGUACGUGGAGGAGGCCACAUAACUAUAACCAAUAAAUUCAUGACACGUAAUUUAGGACACUUCUGGCAAACUAAUGACAUUUUAUAAUAGAGAUAUAUUUACCUCUUGUUCACUUUAGUUGUCACUUAUUCUUAAAAUAUAUAUUUUCAUUUUUACUUGUUACUUUUGAUAAGAAAAGACAAUAAUUUUUUCAUAUUUUAUCCUCAUUAUUAAAUAAUUAUUUUCUAAAUUAUUUUUAAGACAUCAUUUAAUAAGAAAUAGUUUGAUAAAAAUUAAUAUAUCAAUAAUUAUUUUUUUAAUGACUGUGUCAAAUCAAAUUGUGACAAGUAAAAGUGAACGAAUAGAGUAUUCUAUAAAAAAUUCCUAAAAAAUCAAUAUCCAUUUGUAUUGUAAACAAAUUUUGAAUUAUAUAAUUUAGAAAAUGUUCCAUUAUUGAUAACCAUAAACUCAUUUAUCUAUAUAGAUAAUAUAAAUAAGAGAUGAGUAGGAUAUAUAUAUAUAUAGUUAAUGCAAUAAUAUUAAAUGAUAAUAAUAAAAAAGAUAGUGUUUGAUUUUGUAAUAAAUUCAUAAAAUUAUUAUUCUAUUUAUAAUGUUAAAAUGAACCUAAACAAAAAUCUAUAAGUACAUAAAGUAAGAAACAAAAUAUGAUAUAUGAUACAAGAAGAUAUUGUAGAGAUGAAAAAUUAAAAUGUUAAAGGAUAAAAUAGAUAUUGUAUGAAGGGGGGUCUAUUUUUUUUAUAUUUUUUUUACCCUUCCUAGGAGCUUCCACCCCUUAUGCUCCCUUGGUGACUCGAAUUCGCAACCAUCGGGUUGGAAGUGAGGGUGCUUACCAUCCGAGUAACUCUCUCUCGUCAGGGGGAUCUAUUAUUCAAAGUUAAGAUGGAAAUUUGUUUUCCAACAAAGUUAGCGGUGUAAAUAAUUUUCACCCAAAAUAAUAGUGAUAAUUGCGAUAAUGAAGGGUUCCGAUGUUGUAGUGAUUAUUGUGGUGAUGAUAAUUGAUAGUGAUGGCUAUGAAGCUGAAUUAUAAGGCUUAAGUCAUCUACGUCCCCUUAAAGUUGUCUGCAUAAUUCACUUGGACACCACAACUAGGACUCGUACAUAUGGAACACCUAAAUUGUUCAAAACAUAUACCUAUUAAACACAAAACGUUGAUGUGGCGAAAUAAAUGUAACUCAUUGUUGUUGAGCGCGUGAAUGGAUUUUUUUUUUAAUUUUUAAAAAUAAAUUAGUGCUUAUUUUCUUGACACUUGGCAUGUAUUAAUUAAAUAACUAAAAACUCAUUUAAUUAAACAUUUAUCUCUUUAUUUAUAAUAGAAAAUAACUUCACACCCAUGUACGCGUACUCUUUUUCUUCUUCAACCCACCAUUUUAAAGACUUUAAAUUCUCUGCCUUUUGUUUUGUUCUUUUUUUUUUUCAUUUUUCGUUAUAAACAAACUAAUUGAAUUUGCAAGAAGAAGAAAAAAAAUCGGACCAUUGGAGUUAAAAAAGUUAGCCGACAUUCAUGCAUCUCCAUUGAAAUCAUGCAACCAUCACGAUUCAUUAAACUUAUUAAAAAUGAUGUAGAAAAUUGAUAUUCUUUUGAUUUCUCUUCAUCGUCGAUUUUGAAAUAAUUUAUCGGCAUUGAUUAUUUUCACAAAAAAUUCAAUAAUCACAGGAAGAAUAGAAUACAAUGGGUGAUGGGGAAGAAAAAAAAAGCAAAAGAUUAGGUGGGUGUAUUAGGGCUGGGGUGGGAGAUAUUUUCUUUUUUGUUAUCGUUGAGGAGUCGAUGGUGGAGUGACAGGGAAGAAGAAAGGGCAAUGGGUUAGGUGGGGCAAUUUUUUUUUCUUUUUUUAUUCUUUUUUUUUCAAUUUAAUUUUUCCAGAUUAUUAAAGGCUGAAAAUAUUUUUCAUUUUUCAAAAUUAAAAAUUUGGACCCAUGUGCCACGUGUCGUAGUUCUAAUCGUGAUUUUUUCAAGAAAAUGUAUGUGAAUUACACGCACAAUAUUUUUAAGGCUAGUUGUCAUUUUAUGUUCAAUAGAUAAAUAUUACUCCCUCUGUCCCAAUUUAUAUGACUUACUUUCCUUUUUAGUCAGUCCCAAAAAGAAUGACACAUUUCUAUUUUAAGUAACAAUUUGCCUAUAAAAUGUCUUUUUUACCCUUAAUGAAAUGAUUUAUAACCACACAAAUUUCUAUCAUUCAUUUUGGACCACAAGUUUUAAAAGUCUUUCCAUUUUUCUUAAAGUUUGUGCCAAAUCAAAGUACAUCAUAUAAAAUGGGACGGAGGGAGUAGUUAAUAUUAAAGUGUCUAAUACGUAAGAGUCCUAGUUGAGGUAUCUAAGUGAAUUAUGCGAACAACUUUAAGGAGCCGUGACUUAGCUUAUUCGAACGUUGUGAACUCAUUCCUGCUUUUGCAAUACCAGCGCAUCUUGUGCCACAGAAUCGGUUGUGCUCUGCCUGAAUUAUAAUGAUGGGAGGGUGAUGGUGGUUGUGAUGACAGAGAUGAUGAAAAUUAUCCAUACAAAAAAUACUUUUUAAUGAUAUUAAUGGUGGUAAAGACCAAAGAGGAAGCAUCAUGCAGCGAGCAAAGCAAAAACAUCUCCGCUUAAGUUACAAUUCCAUUCACAGUCUAAGAAACUCAUAACUAGAAAACUUUUCUAUAAACUUCAUUGCAUAGACAAACAAACAAGAAAACAAAGCUACAAUGUCAGUUUUUCCUUCAAGGAAGAAAGCUGUUGCCCAAAAAAAAUUUCCCAACUCAGCAAUGAGAUGUCUCUAGCCUUCUCUGCGGACAAAGUAGAGCUUACCCAUGACGUGAAGGAUUGCGACAAAAGCUAUGAAGCCAAUACUCAUUACAAGCACAACAUUGGGGGAUAUCUUGAGUCCGGGGGAAUCAUCAGUGUAGAAUUGGAGCAUGGUACCACCUGCUCCUCCUGCAGCCCCACCUGCUCCUCCGGUCUUCCUUCGACGUAGGUUAGCAGCUGCUGCUGCUGCAGUCCCCCUUUGCGGUCCACCUCCACCCAAAGCCAUUUCUAGUCACUGUUUCAAUGUAAUAAAUAAAAAAUCUUUAGUGGGAAGAAUCACAGGGAUCUUUUGCAAGUCCUCAAACAACUAACAAUCAAAUAAUAGCAGAAUUGAUAGACUAAGGGAAGAUAGUAACUAUUGCAUCUAGGCAUUUCAACAAUGCAUCAGUAUGGCGUUGUAUAUUUAUGCAUCACAACCUCUAAACUCUCAGAAAGGUACAUCAACUACCAGUCAAUUGCAAUCAACUCAAUCAUCAAAGUCGAAUUAAGCCACACAAUUGGAACAAACAGGGUAUUAUUUAAGAAAUUAGUCAGACAACAAUAAACGAAUUGUGAAAUAGCAGAAUUUUGAAUUAUUCACUUAAUACAGAUCUUCAAGAAUUUCAAACUAUACAACAUAUCAUAUGUAAUCCCACAAAUGGCGUGUGGUACUACUAAAAAAUAUUAACUAUUCAACAUUAUCAUACAACAUUGAAACCUAUGAAGAAAAGUAACAUGUACCAAAGAUAUGAUUGGGCCAGGGAAAAAGCCGAUACGUAAAUGCUCAGGAGAAUCAGACUGUACUCAAAUACAGUGCAUCCAGUUUUAUGAGAAAUUCUCAUUGAGAGGGGAAACGACAGCUAUAUUUAAGCAAGUGCUUGAUCUCAGAGAGUAUUCAGCGGAACCCCUCGACAAAAAAUAAUACAGCAUAUAUACAGUAAAUUUUAGCCUUUUAUGUAUAUAUACAAAACUAAAAAUUGAUUUAGAUUCAGUUCCAAGUUCAAAUCAUUGCAUUUUUAUUUUUCAAACCCCUUAAUGAGAAUCCUGGAUCCGCCACUACACUAACUAGCCAACGAAUCCCAAAGACUAUCACAAAAUGUUUGAAUUUAAAUUAAAAUCAUUGCACAAUUUGCAAAUCAUCAUUAUAAAUUGACAUCGCGGUUUCAAAAAAUUCCGAAAACUUGUUAAAUCUGAACAAAACCCUACCCGACCCGAAAGAUCAAAUGUCAAAGCCACCAGAUCAUAAAACAUCAACACAAUUCAAAACUCAAAAGUUUAGAUCCUUCCGAUUACAGAUCUCAACACAUGCGAAAUUCACUUUUUGUUAACAAAUCAAUUACAUAAACUUGCUCCAAUUAAAAUUUAAAAAAUUCACAAGAAAAAAUCAGUACAAAUCUAAUUAAAUCUGCAGGUAAGAAG
rnacentral:lncRNA from 1 species